UUGGGUAAUUUCGUCGCAAAGCGAAGUGGAUACGGCGCGCUCACUUUUAUAAUUCAAUUCAUUCCAAAAUAGUUAGUCCACUCAUUAUAGGAAAGAUCAAAACUAAGUUUUAUGACAGCCCUUUGUUCAGAGUAAAAGUACAAGGGUCAAGGAUGUUUAUAUAGGCAAUAGACCUACGCAAUAAAAGAAUACAGCUGAAAUCUAACAACAUCAGAGCAAAUAUAGUUUUUAGAUUGUGGAUAAGUCUUACCUCUUUUAUCCCGUGUCCAAGAGAAGCCUCUGAAGUAGGAUAUAUCCUUCUUUUAAUGACCGUGCGCAAGCACAUUCUCUAUAUUACCUAAACAACGCAGCUUUUGUUAGAGUAAACUUUGACCCGCUGGAGAGGUGAAAAUUUCCGGAGCAGCCCUUGAAAAAGUUUCGAUAUGUCCUGUUAAAUCUUUGUCAUUGUC